rnacentral:rRNA from 1 species
GACGAACGCUGGCGGCGUGCUUAACACAUGCAAGUCGAACGAUGAACCCGGAGCUUGCUCUGGGGGAUUAGUGGCGAACGGGUGAGUAACACGUGAGUAACCUGCCCUGGACUCUGGGAUAAGCGUUGGAAACGACGUCUAAUACCGGAUAGGACCUUGGAUCGCAUGAUCUGGGGUGGAAAGUUUUUUCGGUCUGGGAUGGACUCGCGGCCUAUCAGCUUGUUGGUGAGGUAAUGGCUCACCAAGGCGUCGACGGGUAGCCGGCCUGAGAGGGUGACCGGCCACACUGGGACUGAGACACGGCCCAGACUCCUACGGGAGGCAGCAGUGGGGAAUAUUGCACAAUGGGCGAAAGCCUGAUGCAGCAACGCCGCGUGCGGGAUGACGGCCUUCGGGUUGUAAACCGCUUUUAGUAGUGAAGAAGGGCUUCGGCUUGACGGUACCUGCAGAAAAAGGACCGGCUAACUACGUG